UGUAAAUCUAAUUUUUCAUACUUUAACAUGUUCUACACUGUAACCUGUGCAGACAUGCUUAAGAGAAAGAGAGAAGAAGAAAACCCUUUAUUUAUUAUAUGACAUCAUUUUUGUUCAUAAGCGAUAUCUGCAUCAAAGCAAAAUCUGGACAAUAGCAGAGGCAACAGCAGAUGUGUCAUGCACAACACUGUUCAUAUAAGUCAGAGGUGAUUUCCCAUGAAAAUUCUGCUCACAUAAUUUGGCCUCAGUGGCCGCAUCAUCUGUACCAGCUUUGGAAAAUUUAUAAAAGCCCUUGUCCAAAGCUUCAAUUGCUUCUGGGAUAUCUGCCCUUAAAAUUGCAUUGUACUUCUUAGCACAAUAAAAUAAGGGUAGCAUUAGUUCUGGGCUGCUUUCAAGGAGCUCUUUGAUUUUGUUUAGAGUCAUGAUUGCCUUAGCCUGAACAAUUCUGACCAUCAUAACAGCAAGCCCUUUGACAUCUGCUGUGGCACUUUCAGGGUACGUGUAUAGAAAAGAGACGCAAAGAGUGUAGUUUGGUGUCUUCUUGCAGAUAUACUCUAUCAAAGUGGCAUCAGAUUGCACGCUAGUGCAAUGGAUAAACAGAGAGAAAAUGAUCAGGAGAAGGGCAUGAACGAGAGAGAAAAGAGUUGGGGACAUAGGAUUCUUCAUCUUUGAAAGAAAGUUCUCCUUUUUUUUUUAAAACUUCUAUUUUUCAUUGGAACGAGAAUUGAAAAUGGAGAAGAAUGGAAGAAGCCUUAUGCUAAAUAUGACAUGAUAUAAAAAUAAUUGAGGGUUGUUUGGAGCAAAACCCAACCCUAAAGGCUGUUCAUGUGUAAUUGGGGUUUACAUUUUUGAGAGCCCAAAUUUCCAUUGAUGUAGAGCAAACUCAGAAAGCAAAAAAUUGAAUAUCAUAUAUACUCUAUAGAUUUACAAAAGUCAGAACUUUUAAUGUUCUACAAUAUCCAUACUAGUUUUUACUGUUUAGAAGAUAUUCUUUAGUGUCGACUCAAACACACAUCCUAUCCGCAUCUGUAAAUCCUUUUGAUGCCAUUGCAAAGUGUAAUGAAGAAACUCAAAAGUUUCCAAGCCAGAACAGCAAAAACAAAGGUAGCAUCAGAACACAACGAACACGUUUAAACAUUUUAACCUCCGGCACUUAGGUGCUUGGUGUCUCCAUUAGUUGCCUCAUACCCGACGAAGUAGCCUGGCAGGUGUGAUGAGUAUGCUGGGAUCCUUUGCUCGUUCACAAUCUUCCAACAGGCUUUCAUUUUCUUCCCAUUUCCACUAUUGAACUGAACAUUGCUGGGCAGUUCAGAAGCUUGCACAAUUGAUAAUUCUAUCUUUCUAGGAAUACCAUGGUAGCCACUGUAUAUAUUCCCCAGGAAAUCCUCCUCAACUGAUUCUAUGUUCAUGAAACUACUCCUAGUCGGAUUUAGACCCCAGUAGAAAACCACAUUUGGAUCCAAUACAUCCAUGUCAACAUAUUCCGUGGGGUUGGGGUCACAAAAGCCUUGCAGCCCUUCAAGCUUAAGAAGUAGACAGCGGAAACGGGACUUCACCCAACCCACCCAAUCUCCUAGCUCAUCUUGAUCAGAAGCUGAAAGGUAAAUUUUGAUAAAUCGGGUAUACUUCUUCGAAUAUGGAAAAGGCUGGAAAAUGGUAUUCCAAUCAAAACCUGGAUUCAAAAAAUCCUUUGUUGAAUCGUGCCCUCUGAGAAACUCCGAUCUGAUCUUGUAGAAUGUGCUCUUAGUGAUAUUGGAAUGGCAAUAUUCAAGUGGACUACAUGGCAAACGAAUGGGCAUGAAGGACCGCGUCUCAAUCACAGCUCCAGCAGUUGAUGGAAUUCCAUCUUGCAGCACCACAGGUGUUGGCCAAGGCCAAGCAGCAAAAGUACUGAAGAAGCUUGAUAUUAAAGUGCUGACACCGGCAUUUGGAUGAUUUUGACAAACAUACGCCGCUAAAAUUGCCAAAUGAACACCUCCCAGAAACCCAUUUAGAUUACCAUACACUCCUCGCCUCUUUGCCCACAGUUUAACAUAUCGUAGCAUUGAUUGGAAAUUCUCUAGGUUUGGAACAAGUUGAAGAAUCUGUUGAUUAGCACGCACACCAGAUAAACUCUUCCAACUGGUUUCAUCAAUAUUCCUCAAAAAGAAUGGAUUAAGUACAUCCAAGUUCUGCAGUUCAUAGAUUCGGCAGUCAACAAUUCACAUAAUCAACAGAGGGAGGGAAAAACUGAUUAUGGUUGCAACACUCUAACGAUACAGAGGGCAAUUGUUAAACGGAUUAUUAGAAACAAGGAAACAAAGUAUCUGAAAGAGGAAAAAAAAAAUCAGACAAAGCAAUUAAAUUAUUAUAAGAUCUGUAAAUAUCAUAUUUUUAAAAAAUCCACAAAAUAUCAAUUGCAAGGUUUUGUACUUACAUCAGGAACAACUAAUAAUUUAAGCUGAGCAUAUGGAAGGUCAACUGAGAUACCAUCAAAUUUGAACCGCAUAAGAGGAACUUUUGCAUCCUUCACACAAUGAAUAUCUGAUACUUCCGGUCUGCUUUUAAGCAUGUUUCGUAGAACAAUAAAAAAGUCCUCAGCCAUGGUGGCAAAGAAAGGACCAACACACAAAGCAUCAAUAUCAGACUCUGGACCAUGAACCCCAAGACCAUAGGACCCAUAUGUUAAUAUUGUGGCGCAUGUGGCUGCAAUUUGUUCUCUAGGAAGCCGACGCUGCCAGGCAACCUUCUUAGCCCAUGCCACCACUAACUUCUUGAGCUUUGAAAUAACAUUUUUCCUCCUCUCUUCCUCUUCCAGAGACGGCACCAAUCCCUCAUUAACCAUGAACUUUUGAAGCGAGACAGACCUUUCGUCCUCCAUUGGAAUCAAGAAUGAAGGACUGAAACCGAAUCCAAAAGGUGCUGGUGGUGGAAGAUUGUACGGAAACAAAACCUUACCGUGAAAACUGGGGUUUAUCAAACCAAAUGAGGGGUUCACAGGUGGAAGUGGAAGGAAACGAUACAGAGGAGGCACAGGAAAGACGAUGACGUUUCUCUGGUUUUGGUAUGCAUUUGCUUCCAUACACGCACCAAAAGUCCUUCGAAGACGGGAGGGAGAGAGUUCAAAAGACGAGAUUCUGGUGUUUCCGAUUAUAGGAAACAAGGAAGAGAAUUUGGAAAUGGAAUAUGGGAUUCUGAGUCAGUCGAUUGUUCCUGUGCAGUUUUGAAACUGCAACGAGG
rnacentral:misc_RNA from 1 species